rnacentral:lncRNA from 1 species
GUAAGUCCACUCAACUUCACAUUUCCCACCCAGUAUAGCACAGCAUCCUCACUUCCUUUUCUUUGUUACCAUUGCAGGUAUGGGCUUCCCUGUUGUUGUACAGGCAGAUCCUGGAUGAGAUCGAAGCCAACGACUACAACAACUUCACGAAGAGGGCGUAUGUUGGUAAAGGGAAGAAGUUGCUAGCACUUCCUGUGGCAUAUGGAAAAUCGCUACUGCUCCCAUGUUCAUUGAGAAAUGGCCAGACCUAGCCACCAGAGAAGCUGCAAUGCAAGGUUCAGGUUAGGCUAGAUAGAAAGUUAAAUGGGGCAACAUCAGGAGGCCUUGAUGAAAAACAGACAACCUGGUGAAUUGUUGUUGGGAUCAGGCACAGAACAGAUAAGAGCCGCGCAGCCAACCUAGGGCAUGUUUGGUUUCAAUUAGUUCUAGGACUAAACUUUAGUCCUAGGACUAAACUUUAGUCCCUAUAUGUUUGGUUCUAGGGACUAAAUAGAUUCUAAAGUCAUUAAAUACAUUGUCCAAAGACUCAAAUACCCUUAGAAUAUACUCAUGAUAUUAGUUAUCUAUAAAAAGGUAAGGGCAACAUGAUAAUUAUGAGCUUUUAGUCUCUUUUAGCACCUAUGUGAAGGACUAAAGACUAAAUCAUUUUAGUCCAUAUUUUAGUCCUAGUGUUUGGCAAAAAAGGGACUAAAAGGGACUAAAAACUAGAGACUAAUCUUUAGUCCCUCUAACCAAACACCCCCCUAGAUGGAUACGGAACAUUCGCCUCUUAUUCGGAGCAAUAUAUGUCUCUCAAGGAAAGAGCCCAACAUGUAUACUGCCUUCUUUUUCUCAUCCCAGAUUUGGGGGAAAAACAAUGUAAAUGCCAAUGGUAUCGUAGGAAGAUUACUAGAAGUAAAUGCCAAUGUAAAAACAGAUGAGUUGGCAUUUACAUGAUAGGAUGGUGGGAUCAUCAGACUGAAAAUGAUAGGGGAUUGUGCUCCCCUGCGACUCCAACUAUUAAACAAGGAAUCCGUCAGCAGUAGCUAACUGUGUGUAUGUGAGAAGAGGCAUUCGAGGGGGAGGGUCCACGAGAUAGGGUAGGAAACUGACCUCGAUUCCAUAGGUCCGUCCAACACGGCGCGCCCCGUGGAGGAGCUGGCCAACGCUAAUGGUACGGCCGUCACUCGUCGGCGAAAGCAAUAAGCGCGUGGCGGCGUGGGGCGUGGCGAGGCCGAUCGCCGCACUCGCCUCACUCGAAUGGCGGCGAUUACGGAGGCGGAUUGGCUUCGUGUUCAACUGUUCGUUCGUGGUGGGACGACUCCGGUCCGGUGGCGGCAGCGCGGAGGUUCCAGCCGCGCUCCCGCCUG